rnacentral:rRNA from 1 species
UACGUAGGGGGCAAGCGUUAUCCGGAUUCACUGGGCGUAAAGGGAGCGCAGGCGGCAUGGCAAGUCUGAUGUGAAAACCCGGGGCCCAACCCCGGGAGUGCAUUGGAAACUGCCAGGCUGGAGUGUCGGGGGGGUAAGCGGAAUUCCUAGUGUAGCGGUGAAAUGCGUAGAUAUUAGGAGGAACACCAGUGGCGAAGGCGGCUUACUGGACGACUACUGACGCUGAGGCUCGAAAGCGUGGGGAGCAAACAGG